UGAUGAUAAUUAUCAUCUAAACUUAUGUUAUAACGAAAUGCAUCAUUCACCAUAUCCACAUAUCUAUCUCCUACCACAUUACCCACUUCUUCAUUCCCACUUACAAACGUCGGAUCUACAUAACUCGUUCCUAUGCCCAUAUUAAUUUCUUCCCCAUGUUUAUACCAAACAUAAUAAUCUGGCAUAAACCCAUAGCAAAAAAUAUGAUUCCAAAUUGUACCCCCUGGAAGACGCCUACCGUUUUUGCACUUAUCACAAGGGCAGUGAAACUUACCACCAUUAUUUUGUGCUAAACGCUGACUAUUUGCAAAAGCCAUGAACUCUUCUACCCCGGUGCUGAACUCUUCCGUGAAAUUUCCCGUCACUUCAUCAAGCCUCUUAUACAUCCACUCCCGAAAAUGACUAUAAUUAGAACUUCCCGCCAUUAUUAAAGAUCUCUCACUCUCGUUUUUUUUUUCUCUCUCGAUUUUUUUUUCUCACUCUAGAUUUUAUUUUUCUCACUCUCGAUUUCUUUCUUAUUGAUGCUCUUGCUUGUGGUGUGAAUGAAAUAAGAAACGAAGGUCUGGUAUAUAUAGAGUGUUUUGGCGACUACUUACCGACUAUUAAAAGACUGUAAAGUGACUCAAACUAACAGUCGCAAAAAAACAAAGCUUACCAACCUCACAAACGAAUAAAACGUGUUUAUUUUUGGCCGAAAUGUUUACGACUCACCUCAUUAGUCGGUUAGUAGUCACCAAAUGGCCGACUAACAGUUGUAGUCGUAUGUUAGUAGGCAAAUUAACGACUGGCCGCAGUAGUCCCCAUGUAGUCGCCAAAUUAGCUACUAUUAGCUGACGAAUUUACUUUCUUCUCUUUCAGUCGUAAAGUUGUUGCUAAUUAAUGACUGUUGAACCAGCUACUCAUUUCAGUCGGUAAAAACCGACUAAUUUACGACUAAUAGUCAGCAGUUGUAAAAUAGUGAUUAAGCAGUCAUUAUAUAGUCACUAAAUUUGGCGACUACGGGUUUAGUCGCCAAUCGUAGUCGUAAAUGUCCUGUUUUCUUGUAGUGAUCCUCUCAAGAUGAAAUCUGAUUUAUUUCAAAUAUUUGUCUUGUUUCAAAAGAUGGUGGAGAAUCAGUUUGAAAUGCAGAAUCAAAGGGUUUCAAUGUGAUGGAGGAGGAGAGUUCAUUAGUACUCAAUUUCUGAAACAUUUACAAGAAAAUGGAAUACAACAAUUCAUCUCUUGUCCUCACACACCUCAGCAAAAUGGUUUAGCUGAACGCAAGCAUAGGCAUGUCACUGAAUUAGGUAUGCCAAUGUUGUUUCAGAGUAAGACUCCUCUAAAGUAUUGGGUGGAAGCUUUUUACACAGCCAAUUUCCUGAUCAAUCUCUUACCAACAUCAUCUCUGGAAGAUUCAAUCUCACCCUACGAGAAAUUGAUUAACAAGAAACCUAUCUAUACGGCUUUAAGGUCAUUUGGUUGUGCGUGUUUUACAACAUUACGUGAUUAUGCUUCUACAAAGAUGGAUCCAAAAUCUCUGCAGUGUGUGUUUCUUGGCUAUAACGAGAAAUACUAAGGGUAUAGAUGCUUGUAUCCUCCUACUGGAAGGGUUUAUAUUAGUAGACAUGUUAUUUUUGAUGAAGCCACUUAUCCCUUCUCAACAGUCUACAGAGAUCUUCAACCGGAAACAGUCACACCAUUGAUGUCCGCUUGGCACAAAAGCUUCAUACCGGCUAGUGCAGGUACAGAACAACACUCUGCUCCACCGGUUCCAAAUAUCUCACUGUCAUCAGGCAAUUCUCCAGUUCAAGAAGUUUUAAGUACACUUGUGAAUGAGGAAUGUCCUGAGCGUACGACAGGCCUUGAUUCUGAAUCUAUAGGCGACAACAUUCUUCAAUCGCAAGCGAGUACUCAAACAGUGCCACUAACUGAGUUUACUGAGAGUGAUGAUGAAGAAGAGACCGCUCCCAUUACUAAUGCACAUCCAAUGGUUACUAGAGGCAAAGAUGGUAUCCGCAAACCAAAUCCAAGAUAUGCAUUAAUGUAUCACAAGGUCUCUUACCCGGAGCCGAAAACUGUCACCGCAGCAUUGAAAGACGCAUGAUGGACUGGAGCAAUGGGGGAAGAAAUGUACACCUGCAAAGAGGUAAACACCUGGUCUCUUGUGCCUCCAAAACCGGAUAUGCAUAUAUUAGGAAGCAAGUGGGUUUUUCGUACCAAGUUAAAUGCUGAUGGUACUUUGAACAAGCUUAAAGCACGUUUAGUCGCACAAGGAUAUGAUCAAGAGGAAGGAAUAGACUACUUGGAAACCUUUAGUCCCGUAGUUCAAACUCCUACAAUGCGAAUGUUUUCCAUGUUGCAGUCAGUAAUAACUGGGAGUUGAAGCAAAUGGAUGUUCAUAAUGCUUUUCUCCAUGGAGAUCUUGAAGAAACAGUUUAUAUGAAGCAGCCUAUUGUUUCGAAAAGUUCUACUGAAGCAGAAUAUAGGAGCAUGUCUGAAACGGCCUCAGAAAUCAAAUGGAUGAGCUCUGUCUUACGGGAUCUCAAUGUUCCUUUGCACACGACUCCUGAGCUUUACUGUGACAACUUCUCGGCAGUGUACUUAACAGCGAAUCCAGCUUUUCAUGCUCGUACAAAGCAUUUUGAUGUUGAUCAUCACUAUGUUCGAGAACGUGUGGCUUUGAAGACACUAACCGUGAGACACAUUCCAGGUCACUUGAAAACAGCGGAUAUCUUCACUAAAUCGCUUCCUUACGAUGCUUUUGCUCGUUUGAGAUUCAAACUUGGUGUUGGUUUACCACCUACACAAAGUUUGCGGGAGGGGGGGAUGAUAACAUAACAACAACAAAACAAGAGUUUUUGGUUCCUGCUCAAAAUGGUGUCGCUUGGGAAAAGGAAGUAAUGGGCCAGACCAAUCUGAUGAAGCCCACCAAGACUCAUUCAUCUCCUCCAACGGUACUAUCGCUAGAAGACAAAAAAACGAGGCAAACAACCAGUCAUUGAAGACUAUACGGAGAUCAAGCUGUCAAACCGCUUCACCACCCUCGAUCCAUCAAGCUCAAGAGGAUUGUGACAUCUGGCAGAAUACUCUAGAGCAAUCCAUAAGGCAUCUAGGAUUUAUGGGGUUUAUGGUUCUUUAGUAUAAAUAAGAUUGUAAAGAUACUCUUGAAGGUUAAGCAAUGAGAAAUUAAAAGCUUCAAUCUUGUUAAAGUGUUCUUACUUUCACGGUGGAACAACGACUAAAGAACAAGAAAGUUCUUAUCGUUGUUGAUGAUGUUGAUGAUCUAGAGCUACUAAAAACGUUGGUUGGACGAAUCAGGUGGUUUGGAUCAGGGAGCAGAAUCGUUGUGAUUACUCAAAAAAGGGAACUUCUCAGGGCUCACAAGAUUCAACAAGUUUAUGAUGUGGAAUUCCCAUCAGAUGAACUGGCUCUUCAAAUGUUUUGUCGAUAUGAUUUCGAGAAAAACUCUCCGCAUCAUGGUUUCAGCAACCUCGCACUUGAAGCGGCAAAGCUUGCGGGUAAUCGUCCAAAAGCUCUCAAGCACUUCGGCCUGUCUUUUAGAAGGAUAUUGGACAAGGAAGAGUGGGUGAAGAUGCUAUCGGAGUUUCGUAGUGAGAGUAACCUAAAAAUCAGAUAUGAUGGGUUAGAUGGCAAAGAUCAAGAUUACAUUGCGUGUUUAACUAAUGGUUCAAAUUCCCAGCCUCAAAGAUACAUGGACGCAAGCUCAAGUGUUUUACAAGUGAAAGCAGAGUGGAUCCACUUAGCACUAGGCGUGUCUAUGUUACUUAACAUCCGCAGUGACGGAACGAGAGAUCUCAAACAUUUGAGCUACAAGUAAUUCGUAGAGUGGCCCAACAAGUAGAAGCAUGGUGGUCGGAGAAUUGUGCAAGAGUGUGCAAGAAGUAUAAUAUUAUAUGUGGCAUGGAUAGAUCAACUGGUGGUGGUGGUAAUUUUGAGGAAAGACAUAAAGUCUGCUACGUUGGGUUAGACCCCAACGGGAAAGAUCAAGCUAUGUAUGCAGGUUUAAUGUAUGGGGAAUCUUCGAAUUCCCAAUUUCAAAGAAACAUGGACGCAAGCCAGUAAUGAAUUCUCAAAAGAUUUACAAAGCUCAACAUCCAUAAUGAAAGCUUUUCAAGUGGAGGAGGACAAGACCGAGUACUGUGAACCAGAUUUAAGGUAUGGAAAAGUUCAAAUUCCGAGCUUCAAAGAAACAUGGAAGCAAGCAAUAUGAGAAAUGAACCUGUGAGUGAGAUGCUUUUCAAAAAUUACGGUGCGCAUUUGCCAAAUGGUAUAACGGAUGGAAAAUGUUCAAAUCCCCAGUCUCAAAAAAAACUGGACGCAAACCUCCGAAGAGAAAAAAUUGUGCAUCACUGGAUUCUAACCAGUAGGGACUUCUCAUUUGAUUUUCAGGGGCCAACAUCUAUAGUGAGUGCUUCUCAAGUGGAGGGGAAAAAGAUCGAGUGUGAAGAAGGCGUGUAUAUAACACUUGGCAUCCUCAGUGGCAGAAUCGUAGUUCUCAAACGUUUGGAGUUCAGCCGAAGAGUGGCGCAACAAGCAAAAGUUUGGUGGUGGGAAAAUUGGAUAAAUGUGUACGAGAAGUACAACAUAAGUGGCAUAGAUAAAUCAUUUGAUGGUAGAUUUAAUGGUUAAAAACAAACUGAAGCUUAGCCUGGCCCUAAAAAGAUUCAGGACAGAGAGCUAGAUAUUGAUGCCUAAAAGGCUAAAACUGAUCAGGUCUACGGGAAGUCCAUUUACUGCAUGCAUGGCUUCAACACUAUUUUAAAUCGUUUGAUCACUUAUCUUUC